UGACAUCUGCCACCCACUCAUCACCAGAGUUGAUUAUUAGGCUCAGAGCAUACCCUCCCAGUAGCCAUGUGCUCAGGUCAGAAGGAUGACUUUUCCCCCAUAGAGAAAGACAGCUUUUUGAUUAAAAAAUAUAUGAAUAUCUGCUUCCCACUAAAACCUCCAAACAAUCUCUAAAGAAACUAGAAAUGGAGUCUAAAGGUGUUAAGAUUGUGACAA
rnacentral:sRNA from 1 species